CAAGACGUAGCUAUAAAUCCCAAAGCAUUCAGCUUACACCUGAAAGAUACCUCGCACAAGGUCGUCUUGA
rnacentral:tRNA from 1 species